rnacentral:rRNA from 1 species
CCCGUCACAUCACGAAAGUGAAUUGUACUAGAAGUCUGCAGGCUGGCCCGCAAGGGGGCAGCGGCCCAAGGUAUGAUCCAUGAUUGGGGUG